rfam:Gossypium arboreum cultivar AKA8401 contig_149977_1, whole genome shotgun sequence.
GAGUGCGAUCAUAUCAGCACUAAUGCACCGGAUCCCAUCAGAACUCGCAGUUAAGCGUGCUUGGACGAGAGUAGUACUAGGAUGGGUGACUUGGUGAGAAAUACUCGUGUUGCAGCCC